AGAUUGAACGCUGGCGGCAUGCUUUACACAUGCAAGUCGAGCGGCAGCGCGGGGGCAACCCUGGCGGCGAGCGGCGAACGGGUGAGUAAUGCAUCGGAACGUGUCCCGUAGUGGGGGAUAACCCGGCGAAAGCCGGACUAAUACCGCAUAUGCUCUACGGAGGAAAGGGGGGGACCCGCAAGGGCCUCCCGCUAUGGGAGCGGCCGAUGUCCGAUUAGCUUGUUGGUGGGGUAAUGGCUUACCAAGGCGACGAUCGGUAGCUGGUCUGAGAGGAUGAUCAGCCACACUGGGACUGAGACACGGCCCAGACUCCUACGGGAGGCAGCAGUGGGGAGUAUUGCGCAAGUGGGCAAAGCCUGACGCAGCAACGCCGCGUGAGUGAUGAAGGCCUUCGGGCGUAAAGCUCUGUCGGAGGAACGAAUGCUCGUUGAGGUGAACAGCCUCGAGG
rnacentral:rRNA from 1 species